ACAAGAUAUCUAGGGCGCACGGCGGAUGCCUUGGCACAGGAAGUCGACGAAGGACGCGGCAAGCUGCGAUAAGCCCCGGGGAGUGGCAAACACACCUUGAUCCGGGGAUCUCCGAAUGGGGGAACCCAGCAGGGGUCAUGCCCUGCUACCCCGCCCUGAAUCAAAUAGGGGCGCGGGAGGCAACCGGGGGAACUGAAACAUCUAAGUACCCCGAGGAAGAGAAAUCAACCGAGAUUGCGCGAGUAGCGGCGAGCGAAAGCGCACCAGCCCAAACCCGGGCGCGUGUAAGCGGCAGGCGUUGCCGCCCGGGGGUUGCGGGACUCGCGUCCAGGUGCUGCCCACCUGGGAGCGGUUACAAAUCCACAUGGUAGCGGAACGGCAUGGAAGGGCCGGCCGCAGCGGGUGAGAGCCCCGUACGCGAAACCAUGCGGACCGCUGACGAGUAUCCCGAGUAGGGCCGGGCACGUGAAACCCGGUCCGAAGCCGGGGGGACCACCCUCCAAGGCUGAACACUCUCCUGUGACCGAUAGCGAACCAGUACCGUGAGGGAAAGGUGAAAAGCACCCCGAGAGGGGAGUGAAACAGUACCUGAAACCGUGCGCCCACAAGCAGUCGGAGCAACCUUGCGUUGUGACGGCGUGCCUUUUGUAGAAUGAGCCAGCGAGUUGCGGUGUGCGGCGAGGUUAAGUUUGGAAACGAGCCGCAGCGAAAGCGAGCCUUUAAGAUGGCGAGUGAGUCGCACGCUGCAGACGCGAAGCCGGGUGAGCUAUCCUGGGGCAGGCUGAAGCGGGGGUAAGACCCCGUGGAGGGCCGAACCCACUUCGGUUGAAAACGGAGGGGAUGACCCCAGGAUAGGGGUGAAAGGCCAAUCAAACCCGGAGAUAUCUCGUUCUCCCCGAAAUAGCUUUAGGGCUAGCCUCGGCCGUUAACCCGCGGUGGUAGAGCCACCGGAUCGACGAGGGGGCUUCACCGCCUACCGACUCGAACCGAACUCCGAAUGCCGCGGGUCGAGAGGCCGGGAGUCAGAGGGCGUGGGCUAAGCUGCGCGCUCGAGAGGGAAACAGCCCAGACCGCCCGCUAAGGUCCCCAAGUCAUCGCUGAGUGGCAAAGGAUGUGCGUCUGCCCAGACAACCAGGAUGUUGGCUUAGAAGCAGCCAUGCAUUUAAAGAGUGCGUAACAGCUCACUGGUCGAGUGGACAUGCGCCGACAAUUCACGGGGCUAAGCGAUGCACCGAAGCGGCGGACUGAGAAUUCAGUGGUAGGGGAGCUCUCCGCGGGGGGCGAAGCAGCAGGGCGACCUGCUGUGGACCGCGCGGAGGUGAGAAUGCUGGCAUGAGUAACGAGACCAGGGCGAGAAACCCUGGCGCCGUGAGCCUAAGGGUUCCUGGGCGAGGCUAAUCCCCCCAGGGUCAGUCGGGAGCUAAGGCGAGGCCGAGAGGCGUAGCCGAUGCGCAGCGGGCAGACAUUCCCGCACCGCCGACGGCGCGGCAUUACCGAUGGGGCGACGGAGAAGGGUAGCCGGGCGGGGUUCUGGACGUCCCCGUGAAAGCGCGUAGGGCGCAGGGCAUGGAAAUCAGCCCUGCACGAGGCCUGAGACGCGAGACGAAGCGACCGAGCGAAGCCGGUGAGCCCAUGCUUCCGAGAAAAACCUCUAGGGAGUGCCGUCGGCGCCCGUACCAAAACCGACACAGGUGGGCGGGUAGAACAUACCGAGGCGAUCGGGAGAACCACGGUUAAGGAACUCGGCAUACUGGCCCCGUAACUUCGGGAGAAGGGGCGCCCCCGCCGGUGAAGGCACUUGCUGCCGGAGCUAGUGGGGGCCGCAGCGAAACGGCCCAAGCGACUGUUUAUCAAAAACACAGGACUCUGCAAAGCCGCAAGGCGACGUAUAGGGUCUGACGCCUGCCCGGUGCCGGAAGGUUACGCGGAUGCGUCAGCCGAAAGGCGAAGCGCUGAAGCCAAGCCCCGGUAAACGGCGGCCGUAACUAUAACGGUCCUAAGGUAGCGAAAUUCCUUGUCGGGUAAGUUCCGACCUGCACGAAUGGCGUAACGAUUUGGGCGCUGUCUCAACCGUGGACCCGGUGAAAUUGUACUGUUCGUGAAGAUGCGAACUACCCGCGGAAGGAC
rnacentral:rRNA from 1 species